ACAUGCAAGUCGAGCGGGGAAGGGUAGCUUGCUACCUGACCUAGCGGCGGACGGGUGAGUAAUGCUUAGGAAUCUGCCUAUUAGUGGGGGACAACAUUCCGAAAGGAAUGCUAAUACCGCAUACGCCCUACGGGGGAAAGCAGGGGAUCUUCGGACCUUGCGCUAAUAGAUGAGCCUAAGUCAGAUUAGCUAGUUGGUGGGGUAAAGGCCUACCAAGGCGACGAUCUGUAGCGGGUCUGAGAGGAUGAUCCGCCACACUGGGACUGAGACACGGCCCAGACUCCUACGGGAGGCAGCAGUGGGAAAUAUUGGACAAUGGGCGAAAGCCUGAUCCAGCCAUGCCGCGUGUGUGAAGAAGGCCUUUUGGUUGUAAAGCACUUUAAGCGAGGAGGAGGCUACUUGGAUUAAUACUCUAGGAUAGUGGACGUUACUCGCAGAAUAAGCACCGGCUAACUCUGUGCCAGCAGCCGCGGUAAUACAGAGGGUGCGAGCGUUAAUCGGAUUUACUGGGCGUAAAGCGUGCGUAGGCGGCUUUUUAAGUCGGAUGUGAAAUCCCUGAGCUUAACUUAGGAAUUGCAUUCGAUACUGGGAAGCUAGAGUAUGGGAGAGGAUGGUAGAAUUCCAGGUGUAGCGGUGAAAUGCGUAGAGAUCUGGAGGAAUACCGAUGGCGAAGGCAGCCAUCUGGCCUAAUACUGACGCUGAGGUACGAAAGCAUGGGGAGCAAACAGGAUUAGAUACCCUGGUAGUCCAUGCCGUAAACGAUGUCUACUAGCCGUUGGGGCCUUUGAGGCUUUAGUGGCGCAGCUAACGCGAUAAGUAGACCGCCUGGGGAGUACGGUCGCAAGACUAAAACUCAAAUGAAUUG
rnacentral:rRNA from 1 species